CCUACGGGUGGCAGCAGUGAGGAAUAUUGGUCAAUGGGCGGGAGCCUGAACCAGCCAAGUCGCGUGAGGGACGACGGUCCUAUGGAUUGUAAACUUCUUUUAUAUGGGAAUAAAAUGUUCCACGUGUGGGAUUUUGUAUGUACCAUAUGAAUAAUGAUCGGCUAACUCCGUGCCAGCAGCCGCGGUAAGACGGAGGAUCCUGGCGUUAUCCGGAUUUAUUGGGUUUAAAGGGAGCGUAGGUGGAUUGUUAAGUCAGUUGUGAAAGUUUGCGGCUCAACCGUAAAAUUGCAGUUGAAACUGGCAGUCUUGAGUACAGUAGAGGUGGGCGGAAUUCGUGGUGUAGCGGUGAAAUGCUUAGAUAUCACGAAGAACUCCGAUUGCGAAGGCAGCUCACUGGACUGCAACUGACACUGAGGCUCGAAAGUGUGGGUAUCAAACAGGAUUAGAUACCCCUGUAGUC
rnacentral:rRNA from 1 species